AAAAAAACUAAAUAAAAGGUGACGCAAUUUUGAAAAAGUGAAUAAAAGAUUUCUUCUUUUUAUUCAUUUUUUUUUUCAACUUUGCAAACGCAUAUGAUCCGCAUAACCUAGUCA